rnacentral:rRNA from 1 species
UACGAAGGAUGCGAGCGUUAUCCGGAUUUAUUGGGUUUAAAGGGAGCGUAGGCGGUCUUAUAAGUCAGUGGUGAAAUCUCGUUGCUUAACAACGAACGUGCCAUUGAUACUGUAGGACUUGAGUACAGUUGCCGUUGGCGGAAUGUGUCAUGUAGCGGUGAAAUGCAUAGAUAUGACACAGAACACCGAUUGCGAAGGCAGCUUACUACACAACGAUUGACGCUGAGGCACGAAAGCGUGGGGAUCAAACAGG